GAUGAACGCUAGCGGCAGGCCUAAUACAUGCAAGUCGAACGGUAACAUGAGUAGCAAUACUUGAUGACGAGUGGCGCACGGGUGCGUAACGCGUAUGCAAUCUACCUUUAACCGGUGAAUAGCCCGAAGAAAUUCGGAUUAAUACACCAUAGUAUGAUGAGGAGGCAUCUCCUUAUCAUUAAAGUUCCGACAGUUAAAGAUGAGCAUGCGUGACAUUAGCUAGUUGGUGAGGUAACGGCUCACCAAGGCCACGAUGUCUAGGGGAUCUGAGAGGAUUAACCCCCACACUGGUACUGAGACAGGGACCAGACUCCUACGGGAGGCAGCAGUAAGGAAUAUUGGACAAUGGUGGCAACACUGAUCCAGCCAUGCCGCGUGAAGGAUGAAGGGGCUCUGCCUUGUAAACUUCUUUUGCAUGGGACGAAAAAACUUAAUUAUUAAGGACUGACGGUACCAUGAGAAUAAGCACCGGCUAACU
rnacentral:rRNA from 1 species